UCUCUACUGCGCCUGCGCAUGGUGGGAGUUGCGCAGGCGCCGAAGGGAGGACUGCCCUCGGUGGUUAGCGCCUCUAGCCGUUCAGGCUGUGUAGGUGGCAAGGCUAAGCCUGGGAAGAGGCUCUUCUAGAAGUUUCUGAGAGAAGUGUGAGGGCGGCUGUUAGUUGUAGGCGCUCCGCCGACGGGGACCUUCGUGGAGUGGGGAUUGUGACUGAGGGGAUCUGCGUUAACCCUGACAGAAGGGGGAGGAGAGUUGUGUGCUUUUCUUAUACACAGACGUGGAGGAGAGGAUCUUUCUUGUUGGUUUGUAUCCUUUUUUCAUUCUUUUAUAUCUAUGAAUCUUCACUAAGGGAGCUUUUUUUUUCCUUUUUAAGCCUGGAGUGA
rnacentral:lncRNA from 1 species